rnacentral:rRNA from 1 species
GCGUUGUUCGGAAUUACUGGGCGUAAAGGGCUCGUAGGCGGCCAACUAAGUCAGACGUGAAAUCCCUCGGCUUAACCGGGGAACUGCGUCUGAUACUGGAUGGCUAGAGAUUGGGAGAGGGAUGCGGAAUUCCAGGUGUAGCGGUGAAAUGCGUAGAUAUCUGGAGGAACACCGGUGGCGAAGGCGGCAUCCUGGACCAACACUGACGCUGAGGAGCGAAAGCCAG